rnacentral:rRNA from 1 species
CCUACGGGUGGCAGCAGUGAGGAAUAUUGGUCAAUGGGCGUAAGCCUGAACCAGCCAAGUCGCGUGAGGGAUGAAGGUUCUAUGGAUCGUAAACCUCUUUUAUAAGGGAUUAAAGUGCGGGACGUGUCCCGUUUUGAAUGUACCUUAUGAAUAAGGAUCGGCUAACUCCGUGCCAGCAGCCGCGGUAAUACGGCGGAUCCGAGCGUUAUCCGGAUUUCUUGGGUUUAAAGGGUGCGUAGGCGGCCUUUUAAGUCAGCGGUGAAAGUCUGGGGCUCAACCCUAGAAUUGCCGUGGAAACUGGGUGGCUUGAGUAUGUUUGAGGCAGGCGGAAUGCGUGGUGUAGCGGUGAAAUGCUUAGAUAGCACGCAGAACCCAGAUUGCGAAGGCAGCCUGCCAAGCCAUGACUGACGCUGAUGCACGAAAGCGUGGGGAUCAAACAGGAUUAGAUACCCCUGUAGUC